GGCGAGGUAGCUCAGCUGGUUAGAGCGCAGGAUUCAUAAUCCUGAGGUCGCGAGUUCAAGUCUCGCUCUCGCUACAA
rnacentral:tRNA from 1 species